rnacentral:pre_miRNA from 1 species
UCUUAGGAAUGAGCAAAAUAAGUGGUUUCUUCAGAUGGAAUCUUCUCCUGGUGAAGAUGCAGUGAA